CUGUGGCCACUUCGGCUCAAG
rnacentral:sRNA from 1 species